ensembl:lncRNA
UGGAAUAUAUGCAGGAGAUAAGAAUAGUAUAAAUGCAGAGCCAAUCCUUUGUUCAAAUUGCGACCCUGGUGGAGUGUAAACUCCCCUCGGCCGCCCGCCCAGCGCUGUUUUGCUCACUUAACCGCCAUGCUUAAUUGAAUAAAGCUGUCCCUUUAUCGCACUAGACUUUGUCUGGUUUUGUCACAAGAAUCUACAACAAGGGAAGGCAGGCGAUAGAAAAGAUAGAAAGAGGCAAGAAUUGCGUAAAGCGGGGAUAGUCACCACCAGGAUCCAGCAACGGUCCCGUUGCACGACGUUCCGACGGUCCAUGGCAAAAGAGCAGGGGAAGUGCAGCAGUAGCGUGGCCAGUCUUGGGCAGCAAGAAUGUGCAGUUAUCAGGUAGGUUCAGGAAGAACUCCGGGAGGAAGAAGCAGGCCCUGGAGAGUCCGUCAGCAUGCAGACCUUCCUUAGUGAGGGAUCUGAUGGCAGACACCUUGGGGGGAGAGCAGUAGCAGAAGGCCAGCCUUAGGAAGCAAGCAGGUAGAGUGCAGAGCAAGUCCAGGAGGGAGCAAACAACUACUUCUUGUUCUUCAGCAUGCAGGUCUCGGGUCGCGAGGAAUCUGUCAGAAACCCUCUCUCUUCUUCAGCACGAGGAAUCUGUUGUCAGAAACACCUCUUCAUGAGGAAUCUGUAGUCAGAAACCUAAUCUUAUGGUUGUUCGUCCCUUUUUUAUCCUUCUGCCAACGUGGCAUUCCUGGGUGCUUGGGGAACAUUCAUGUGCAAAUACCCCCUGAGAUGGCUAUCUCCCUUGAGAUAAGCCCCCACAAAAGACUGCUUCCUGGCCAUUAAGCUCUGGCUUACCUCUCUCUCGUUGCCCUCGGCCUUGUCCAUCUGUGUCCCUCAGACAAAGGAUUUUGCACCCCCUGCCCAAGACUGGUCCACCUGUGUCCUCCAGACAAAGGACUUCUCAAACCUUGAUCAGGACUUGUUUGGACUUGUUCAUCUGUGACCCUCAGCAAGCUUUGAGACAAUGAUGCAAAACAAUAAACCCUUACAAGCCCUGAAGAGCUCUGUGAAUAAAUACCAUGAUUCUCUGCAGAUCUGGUUGAAGACUCCUGUUAACAGCUUUCUUUCCCAUUCAUGGCACCACUGCCGUCAGGAUCCAAAGCCACAUUGGCAUAUCUCCUUCUCAAGUGAAAGAUGAAGAAUGUAUUGACAGUUCCUGGAGUGCUAGACUCUUUUCAGUAGUGCCCAGUACCAGGACAAGAAGUGAGCGAAAACUGGAACAUAGGAGUUUCCAUCUCAACUGUCAUCUAUGAUUCUGUGAUCUGGAAGAAAUUAUGAUACUUGCAGAAAUGGAAAAGCAGUAAGGCUUGGCACCAGACUCCAGUGAAAUGAACAGAUUCCAGGUGAACAUGAUGAGAACACAAUCUAACAAACAGCCAUGCUUUGGCUGCCUGCUCUGAUAGCAGCAGCUGCUUGGAAAACUAAGCUGCUUCACAAUUGAAAGAGUGUUGAAAGAAAUAUUUUUCAAAAUCAAGAGUGGAGGAUUUAUCAGUCCAGACUCGGAGAAUAUAGUGCAUGUUGUCCAGCUGUCACAUCACAAAGCUGAGAAGAAGACAUGCAAAAUGAAGAUGUAGGCACAAAGGCUGAAGGCAGAUGGGACCUGUAGUGAACUGCUGUGCUUGUGUUUCUUUCUGUUACUAAAAGGAAUUUGUUACGCUAGUGAUUUUAAAUGAUUUGUGGCUGACAGUUUUAGGUUUAAUAAUAGUAAACCAGACAACAUCUGGCAUGGUGAAAUAAAAUUAUUUGAUAUGUAACUUAGCUCACACCCCCAACACACACACACAAAUGAAAAUUAAUGUGCAAAUAAGAAACUUUUUUUGAAGUACAUAUUGAGCCAUCAUUUUUAAUGGAUAACAGAAGAACAUGGGAUGAAGAUUUUUUCCUGAAGUUUUAUUACAUAAUUAAUCCAAAUUUCUUUGUGUAAUUUGGAAGCUUAUAAUGAGAACAGGUAUUAUUCCUCCCCAGAUAUUACCAUCUUUUAAAGAUUUUUUUUAAUAUUUGUGUUAGUAUUAUGGUUAUUUCUGCUUUAGUUCUUCUUCUGAUGCCUUCUUGAAUGGGCAGUGUCAAGGCCAUGUUCAACAAUGGCAAAUCACAAAAAAAUAUUUUUUUCAUAAAGUCAUAAAUUCCUCUUCAUGAACUGCAAAUGAGUCUGUACAUGAAAAUGUGGUGCUCAAAUUCAUUGAUAAUGAGAGUAUACCUCACUGGAGUUUUUACCAUAUUACCUAAAAUGAAUGCGUGCUUUAAGACAUGUGUGAUUGGCUGAAUGACUCUGUAUUUCUGUGUGGCUGUGUGCAUGAAUACACAUGCAUGUGUACAGUUAUUUUAACUGGGAAUGUAAAGGCUCUAGAGGUGAGUCCGAAAUAGCAUAGAAGUCUACUGUUAUUUUGAUUAAAUAAAAUAUUAUUGCUCACAAUAUCUGUGAAAGAUCUUAAAGGUUGCUUGAAGUCAUUUUUAAAUGUUGCGCAUAUUACUUAUUACACUCAACAAGCAUAGCUAAUUGGCAUAACUGAGUACAUGAAUAACAAUAUGUGGCUUAAAACUACAAAAGAAAAGGAAAUUAUAUUUAUUUCCUAUAAAUAAAAUAUUACCUACUAUGUAUUAUUUAUAUUACAUAAAUUUAAACAAUGUAUAAUACAUGAGGAUAAAUUUACUGUAUUUGGAGCAAAAUUAACUGAGCUGUCUCUGAGGACCUUUAUUAAUAUUGCAGAACCAGUAUUAUACUACUGUAUAAUUGAUUUUUGAAGACUAUUUUGCAUAUGUUUUCCUAAAUCACAUCACUUAAGCUAGAAAAUUUUACAUAUCAUGGGCCAGGCAGAUAACACCAUGACAAAGGUGUGUUGUGAAGCAUGAGACAAUGUACUUUAAAAUUC